rnacentral:rRNA from 1 species
GGGAGGUAGUGACAAUAAAUAACAAUACAGGGCUCUUACGGGUCUUGUAAUUGGAAUGAGUACAAUUUAAAUCUCUUAACGAGGAACAAUUGGAGGGCAAGUCUGGUGCCAGCAGCCGCGGUAAUUCCAGCUCCAAUAGCGUAUAUUAAAGUUGUUGCAGUUAAAAAGCUCGUAGUUGAAUUUCGGGAUUCUUCCGUUGGUCAGGCUAACCAGUCUGUACUAGCGUGUAGAAUUCCUACCUUCUGGGGAACCAUCAUGUUAUUAAUUUAGCGUGGUGGGAAACCAGGACCUUUACCUUGAAAAAAUUAGAGUGUUCAAAGCAGGCUUACGUCUGAAUACAUUAGCAUGGAAUAAUAAAAUAGGACGGUGGUCCUGUUUUGUUGGUUUCUGAAUCACCGUAAUGAUUAAUAGGGAUAGUUGGG